UACCAGCACCCCGAGUGGUCGGGACGUUUAUUGGGCCUAAAGCAUCCGUAGCCGGUUCUACAAGUCUUCCGUUAAAUCCACCUGCUUAACAGAUGGGCUGCGGAAGAUACUAUAGAGCUAGGAGGCGGGAGAGGCAAGCGGUACUCGAUGGGUAGGGGUAAAAUCCGUUGAUCCAUUGAAGACCACCAGUGGCGAAGGCGGCUUGCCAGAACGCGCUCGACGGUGAGGGAUGAAAGCGGGGGGAGCAAACCGG
rnacentral:rRNA from 1 species